UACAGAGGGUGCGAGCGUUAAUCGGAAUUACUGGGCGUAAAGCGCGCGUAGGCGGCUUUGCAAGUCGGGUGUGAAAUCCCCAGGCUUAACCUGGGAACUGCAUUCGAGACUGCAUUGCUAGAGUAUGGGAGAGGGAAGUGGAAUUUCCGGUGUAGCGGUGAAAUGCGUAGAUAUCGGGAGGAACACCAAUGGCGAAGGCAGCUCGCUGGGACGGUACUGACGCUGAGGCGCGAAAGCGUGGGGAGCAAACAGG
rnacentral:rRNA from 1 species